rnacentral:rRNA from 1 species
AGUGAACGCUGGCGGUAGGCCUAACACAUGCAAGUCGAACGGCAGCACAGUAAGAGCUUGCUCUUACGGGUGGCGAGUGGCGGACGGGUGAGGAAUACAUCGGAAUCUACUUUUUCGUGGGGGAUAACGUAGGGAAACUUACGCUAAUACCGCAUACGACCUACGGGUGAAAGCAGGGGAUCUUCGGACCUUGCGCGAUUGAAUGAGCCGAUGUCGGAUUAGCUAGUUGGCGGGGUAAAGGCCCACCAAGGCGACGAUCCGUAGCUGGUCUGAGAGGAUGAUCAGCCACACUGGAACUGAGACACGGUCCAGACUCCUACGGGAGGCAGCAGUGGGGAAUAUUGGACAAUGGGCGCAAGCCUGAACCAGCCAUGCCGCGUGGGUGAAGAAGGCCUUCGGGUUGUAAAGCCCUUUUGUUGGGAAAGAAAAGCAGCAGGUUAAUACCCCGCUGUUCUGACGGUACCCAAAGAAUAAGCACCGGCUAACUUCGU